UUUAUCUACAAUCGGACGGAAAAUGCUGCUAUUGAGAAAGAGAAAUACUGUUUAUACCAGGUCAACUAAUGGAUUUUCUAUUCGCAAAUCAAAGGUGUUAAGUGUUGGUGGUUCUAGUUUGAAAUGGUCAAAAUCUAUUGAAAAGAAUUCAAGGAAAGCUAAUGAGGAAGCUACACUAGCAGUUGCUGCAGCAGACAGAAAGAAAAGAGAACAAAAUGGCAGAAUUUUCGGG